GUACUGCUGAAGAGUCCCAAACCAGGACAAAACAGCUGUCCAGUAC
rfam:Trichobilharzia regenti genome assembly, scaffold: TRE_scaffold0005631